UGCUCAGCCACUGAGCCCCGCUGACUGGGCUAAAAAUGCAUUUUUUAAAAAAUAAUGAUCGGAGGGAUCUCGGUGUCGGCUCGGACUGCGCUGUCCUCGGGAGGAGGCCCAGGCCACAGCCUUGACUGUGAUCCUGCUCUCUCUGGAUCGCAGCUGCA